CCUACGGGAGGCAGCAGUAGGGAAUUUUGCGCAAUGGGCGAAAGCCUGACGCAGCAACGCCGCGUGAUCGAGACGCCCUUCGGGGUGUAAAGAUCUGUCAGUGGGGACGAAACUUGACGGUAGCCACAGAGGAAGCACAGGCCAACUCCGUGCCAGCAGCCGCGGUAAUACGGGGGGAGCAAGGGUUGUCCGGAAUCAUUGGGGGAAAAGAGUUCGGAGGCGGCACGUAAGUUCUGGUGGUAAAGGCAGAGGUCCAACUUCUGUACGCCACUGUUUACUUCCGAUCUCGAAUGAGGAGAGGUAAAGGGAAUUCCUGGUGUAGCGGUGAAAUGCUUAGAUAUCAGGAGGAACAUCGGUGGCGUAAGCGCUUUACUGGGCCGUAAUUGACGCUGAGGAACGAAAGCCAGGGUAGCAAAUGGGAUUAGAUACCCCAGUAGUC
rnacentral:rRNA from 1 species